rnacentral:rRNA from 1 species
CCUACGGGAGGCAGCAGUGGGGAAUUUUGGACAAUGGGCGCAAGCCUGAUCCAGCCAUGCCGCGUGUGGGAAGAAGGCCUUCGGGUUGUAAACCACUUUUGUCAGGGAAGAAACGGUCUGAACUAAUACUUUGGACUAAUGACGGUACCUGAAGAAUAAGCACCGGCUAACUACGUGCCAGCAGCCGCGGUAAUACGUAGGGUGCAAGCGUUAAUCGGAAUUACUGGGCGUAAAGCGUGCGCAGGCGGCUUUGCAAGACAGAUGUGAAAUCCCCGGGCUCAACCUGGGAACUGCAUUUGUGACUGCAUGGCUAGAGUACGGUAGAGGGGGAUGGAAUUCCGCGUGUAGCAGUGAAAUGCGUAGAUAUGCGGAGGAACACCGAUGGCGAAGGCAAUCCCCUGGACCUGUACUGACGCUCAUGCACGAAAGCGUGGGGAGCAAACAGGAUUAGAUACCCUGGUAGUCCACGCCCUAAACGAUGUCAACUGGUUGUUGGGAGGGUUUCUUCUCAGUAACGAAGCUAACGCGUGAAGUUGACCGCCUGGGGAGUCGGCCGNAAGGUUGAAACGUCAAAGGAAUUGACGGCUUGGNGAGNGCGAGGACGACGACGAGGGAGGAGG